rnacentral:misc_RNA from 1 species
GGUGCAAGAGGCGCAUCACUGGGUCCACAAUAGUAUGUUGUCAAUACACGAGCAUCAGGAGCAUAGGCACGAAUCUCGCUAGACAUACUGCGAACAGAAUCAAAAUGUUCCAUAUUCAAUGGCUCGUCCCAUAGGUAAAAGUAAGCUUUCUUCCAGUGUGCCUUUGUCCUCAGUAUCUCAACUUCUCUUUGCAAGUAAUCUUUUGCCGCAUCACCACCAAAGACUGCUCUAUAUGGAACAGCAUAAGCUGAUAGUCGUGGGUCCGAAAAAUAUUCAUCUGACUUUGGAUGAUCAGCUGGCCAGGGGCAGGUGUAAGUUAAAACACGCAUGCCAUCACCCCAUCUGCAGAAAUAAGGACUGAUUCUAUAUUGAAGAAGCCAUUUAAAAUGUUCAUCCAGUGCCUCAAAC